rnacentral:rRNA from 1 species
GAUGAACGCUGGCGGCGUGCUUAACACAUGCAAGUCGAACGAAGCACCUCUCCCGAAGAUUGACACAGCUUGCUGUAGAUUGAUUCAUUUGAGGUGACUGAGUGGCGGACGGGUGAGUAACGCGUGUGUAACCUGCCUCAUAGAGGGGGACAACAGUUGGAAACGACUGCUAAUACCGCAUAGUAAGAAGAAUUCGCAUGUUUUCUUCUUGAAAGAUUUAUCGCUAUGAGAUGGACCCGCGUCUGAUUAGCUAGUUGGUAAGGUAACGGCUUACCAAGGCGACGACCAGUAGCCGGCUUGAGAGAGUGAACGGCCACAUUGGGACUGAGACACGGCCCAAACUCCUACGGGAGGCAGCAGUGGGGAAUAUUGCACAAUGGGGGAAACCCUGAUGCAGCGACGCCGCGUGAGUGAAGAAGUAUUUCGGUAUGUAAAGCUCUAUCAGCAGGGAAGAUAAUGACGGUACCUGACGAAGAAGCCCCGGCUAACUACGUG